GUGGCAGUAUGCCCUGUAGGCUUUGAAUGCACCACACAAGUGCCUGCAUCUAAUUGGUUGUGGCGCUGGCUGCCUGUAUAUAAAGGGCCCUCCCUCUACCUGUGUGACAUGGUUGCCUCCCGGUUCAGACUACUAUGGUUGCGGGUGCUGCAUGCUAGCCCCAGGCUAGUGGGUGCAUGAAGGGUGCGUUUAACGACCCUUGAUCCUUUUUUAUGGCUACCAGAAUGAGUCUACCUGAUUCCUCCUCCUUUAGAGGAGCUACACUUUAGGCUCAGUGAUGCUGCUGUUUGUCCUUUGCCGGUGUUCUGCUGGAGGCCCAAUUUGUUCACUUCCGGUUUCCUAUCUAUGCCGUGUGGUUCUUUGGCCGGCUAAAUAACUGUUGCUGUGUUAGACCUUCAUCGGCUCCUGCUGGUCGUCAUUCUGCCCUGACUGGCUUAGUGACGCUCAGCUCAAGGUGAUUCUGUGGGUUCCUCACGGCUGCUGGAUGGAACAUUAAUUCACACCCAAAGUCUACUGCUGCUUGGCUACCUGCUACCGGACUGAGACAUCUGAAUCAUUUUUAUAUAUGUAUUUUAAC